rnacentral:rRNA from 1 species
AUUGAACGCUGGCGGCAUGCUUUACACAUGCAAGUCGAACGGUAACAGGCCGCAAGGUGCUGACGAGUGGCGAACGGGUGAGUAAUGCAUCGGAACGUGCCCAGUCGUGGGGGAUAACUACUCGAAAGAGUAGCUAAUACCGCAUACGAUCUAUGGAUGAAAGCGGGGGACCGUAAGGCCUCGCGCGAUUGGAGCGGCCGAUGUCAGAUUAGGUAGUUGGUGGGGUAAAGGCUCACCAAGCCAACGAUCUGUAGCUGGUCUGAGAGGACGACCAGCCACACUGGGACUGAGACACGGCCCAGACUCCUACGGGAGGCAGCAGUGGGGAAUUUUGGACAAUGGGCGCAAGCCUGAUCCAGUAAUGCCGCGUGCAGGAAGAAGGCCUGCGGGUUGUAAACUGCUUUUGUACGGAACGAAACGGCUCUGGUUAAUACCCGGGGCUAAUGACGGUACCGUAAGAAUAAGCACCGGCGAACUACGU